GUGAAGAUUACCCCUCAAUUUCAGUCAUCACAUAGCGCUCAACUGACCUUAUAUACAGUGUAUGUAGCGUGCUUUGCGAGAUUGGGCUAUGAAUAACAUUAACAAAUGCGUACGCCGUCUGCAGAUAGGGGGGUGCAAGGCUGGUAGCGCCGCUGCAGAACGCAAGCGGUAUAGCACAUCCAGCGCAUAUAGUAGCACAUAUUGUACAUCCAGCGGACAAGCAAUUGACCAGAAGCAACUGACCAGACGCGCAUUGGCUCCAUGACGACAACAUGACCCAGCAGUGAGGGACCCAGUAUGACCAGACAGAGGAAAAUAUGGCGGUUUUCGUGCUGUUGGAAAUACAUGGGAUAGGGGGUGCAACGUAGAAGCCGACACCUUCCUGGUCUUGGCUGAGGCGAAGGAGACGCCAGCCCACGUCCUACGCGACAUGGAGACCCUGCGCUCUUGUGCCCGGUACCGCACACGACAUGCUGCCCACUACCUACGGGACAUUCACCUACGAUAGGGGGUGCAACGUAGAAGCCGACACCUUCUUGGUCUUGGCUGAGGCGAAGGAGAGGCCAGCCCACGUCCUACGCGACAUGGAGACCCUGUGCUCUUGUGCGCGGUACCGCACACGACAUGCUGCCCACAACCUACGGGACAUUCACCUACUGUAUGAAAACUCAGCUGUCGGGGCUGCUGUUUGCAGACUGGCACAGUCUCUUCCGCCCCCUCCGUCGCGCCUGCUAUACGCUCCACCUUUUUGAACCCUCGUGCUUCCUCCGACGAACCUGCAUAUUCCCAACAUGUCCCGCAAAAACGACACUCCUGUCCUCGCCGCGCCAGCUUGCUCUUGACCAUUUGAACUCGGUCCACGUUCAGCGUAAAGCAAUUUUCACGGAUGGCUCGGCUGUGUAUGGCGCGUCGUCUGCAGCUUUCUUCAUGCCUCACAGCGACACUGCGCAGGCUUUCAAGCUGCCGCAUGAAACUUCAUCCACUGACCCGGGACUGACAGCCAUCUAUGAAGCGCUCAACGCCAUAUCCGGUUCACAGGCCGACUCGUUGUCCAUCUUCACGGACAGCAAGUCAGCAUUGGAGACCUUGACAUCGUACCGGUGCAGUGCUAUUUGCGAUCUCCGCACGCUUGUAAUCGCCAGAUACAACGAGCUCCUGGCUUCCGGCCACAGCGUACGGCUAGGCUACCGAGAGCUUUCCCUCGCGGUGCUACUUGGCCCUACGCAGCACGCUGAAGUCACAUUUGCGCUGACACGAUUCCUUCGGGAAUUUAAACUCCUGGGCAUUCUGUGAUGCGUCCUAUGCGCAACGAUUAGUGACGGAGCUGUUUCUCCUGAAUUUUUUCGUAAUUUUCCCAGCUGUUUGUGUUUUCUUUUGUUUGCUUGAAAGCUCUAGGGAAUGGCAAGCCCACACCGUGGCUAACUUUUCUCUUCUCUUUUUUACUUUGGAUUAAACAUAUCCCCCCCCCCCCGA